GAUGAACGCUGGCGGCGUGCCUAAUACAUGCAAGUCGAGCGAACAGAUGAGGAGCUUGCUCCUCUGACGUUAGCGGCGGACGGGUGAGUAACACGUGGAUAACCUACCUAUAAGACUGGGAUAACUUCGGGAAACCGGAGCUAAUACCGGAUAAUAUAUUGAACCGCAUGGUUCAAUAGUGAAAGACGGUUUUGCUGUCACUUAUAGAUGGAUCCGCGCCGCAUUAGCUAGUUGGUAAGGUAACGGCUUACCAAGGCAACGAUGCGUAGCCGACCUGAGAGGGUGAUCGGCCACACUGGAACUGAGACACGGUCCAGACUCCUACGGGAGGCAGCAGUAGGGAAUCUUCCGCAAUGGGCGAAAGCCUGACGGAGCAACGCCGCGUGAGUGAUGAAGGUCUUCGGAUCGUAAAACUCGGUUAUUAGGGAAGAACAAAUGUGUAAGUAACUAUGCACGUCUUGACGGUACCUAAUCAGAAAGCCACGGCUAACUACGUG
rnacentral:rRNA from 1 species